rnacentral:snoRNA from 1 species
UCGGCUUCUCUCCGAUCUACUCGUGCCUACGCACAAACUCGUUCGUGGGCAAUGACGAGACGUGAAGCAAAAGUGAUCUGUUCCUCUCGCUAUCCGACGCGGAAUUUUUGAUGCGACCGGACGUCGAGGAACUACACUU